rnacentral:rRNA from 1 species
AACGAACGCUGGCGGCAUGCCUAACACAUGCAAGUCGAACGUGAUCCGUGCCUUCGGGUUCGGUGAAAGUGGCGCACGGGUGAGUAACGCGUGGGAACCUGCCCAAUGGUAGGGAAUAACCGCGGGAAACUGCGGCUAAUACCCUAUGAGCCCUACGGGGAAAGAUUUAUCGAGGUUGGAGGGGGCCGCGGCGGAUUAGGUAGUCGGUGGGGUAAUGGCUCACCAAGUCUUCGAUCCGUAGCUGGUCUGAGAGGAUGAUCAGUCACAAGGGGGCUGGGACACGGCCCAGACUCCUGCGGGAGGCAGCAGUGGCGAAUAUUGGACAAUGGGGACAAGCCUGAGCCAUCAAUGCCGCGUGAGUGAAGAAGGCCUUAGGGUUGUAAAGCUCUUUCGGCGGGGACGAUGAUGACGGUACCCGCAGAGGAAGCCCCGGCUAACUCCGUGCCAGCCGCCGCCGUAA